CAUCGCUGAUAGAUAGGCAUGCGUUCCAUUAGGCAGUUGGCGGGGUAACGGCCCACCAAACCGACGAUGGAUAGGGGUUCUGAGAGGAAGGUCCCCCACAUUGGUACUGAGACACGGACCAAACUCCUACGGGAGGCAGCAGUGAGGAAUAUUGGUCAAUGGGCGUAAGCCUGAACCAGCCAAGUCGCGUGAGGGAUGAAGGUUCUAUGGAUCGUAAACCUCUUUUAUAAGGGAAUAAAGUGUGGGACGUGUCCCGUUUUGUAUGUACCUUAUGAAUAAGGAUCGGCUAACUCCGUGCCAGCAGCCGCGGUAAUACGGAGGAUCCGAGCGUUAUCCGGAUUUAUUGGGUUUAAAGGGUGCGUAGGCGGCCUUUUAAGUCAGCGGUGAAAGUCUGUGGCUCAACCAUAGAAUUGCCGUUGAAACUGGGGGGCUUGAGUAUGUUUGAGGCAGGCGGAAUGCGUGGUGUAGCGGUGAAAUGCAUAGAUAUCACGCAGAACCCCGAUUGCGAAGGCAGCCUGCCAAGCCAUUACUGACGCUGAUGCACGAAAGCGUGGGGAUCAAACAGGAUUAGAUACCCUGGUAGUCCACGCAGUAAACGAUGAUCACUAGCUGUUUGCGAUACACUGUAAGCGGCACAGCGAAAGCGUUAAGUGAUCCACCUGGGGAGUACGCCGGCAACGGUGAAACUCAAAGGAAUUGACGGGGGCCCGCACAAGCGGAGGAACAUGUGGUUUAAUUCGAUGAUACGCGAGGAACCUUACCCGGGUUUGAACGCAUUCGGACCGAGGUGGAAACACCUUUUCUAGCAAUAGCCGUUUGCGAGGUGCUGCAUGGUUGUCGUCAGCUCGUGCCGUGAGGUGUCGGCUUAAGUGCCAUAACGAGCGCAACCCUUGCCACUAGUUACUAACAGGUGAUGCUGAGGACUCUGGUGGGACUGCCAGCGUAAGCUGCGAGGAAGGCGGGGAUGACGUCAAAUCAGCACGGCCCUUACAUCCGGGGCGACACACGUGUUACAAUGGCGUGGACAAAGGGAGGCCACCUGGCGACAGGG
rnacentral:rRNA from 1 species